UACAGAGGGUGCGAGCGUUAAUCGGAAUUACUGGGCGUAAAGCGUGCGUAGACGGUUAUUUAAGUCGGGUGUGAAAGCCCCGGGCUCAACCUGGGAAUUGCAUUCGAGACUGAAUAGCUGGGGUACGGUAGAGGGAAGUGGAAUUUCCGGUGUAGCGGUGAAAUGCGUAGAUAUCGGAAGGAACACCUGCGGCGAAGGCGGGUUGCUGGGCUGACACUGACGCUGAGGCGCGAAAGCUAGGGGAGCGAACGGG
rnacentral:rRNA from 1 species